CCUACGGGUGGCAGCAGUGAGGAAUAUUGGUCAAUGGGCGGAAGCCUGAACCAGCCAAGUAGCGUGCAGGAUGACGGCCCUACGGGUUGUAAACUGCUUUUAUACGGGAAUAACGCGCCUUACGUGUAGGGCUUUGCAUGUACCGUAUGAAUAAGGACCGGCUAAUUCCGUGCCAGCAGCCGCGGUAAUACGGAGGAUGCGAGCGUUAUCCGGAUUUAUUGGGUUUAAAGGGUGCGUAGGCGGACUGGAAAGUCAGCGGUAAAAUCGAGAGGCUCAACCUCUUUCCGCCGUUGAACCUGUCGGUCUUGAGUGGGCGAGAAGUAUGCGGAAUGCGUGGUGUAGCGGUGAAAUGCAUAGAUAUCACGCAGAACUCCGAUUGCGAAGGCAGCAUACCGGCGCCCGACUGACGCUGAGGCACGAAAGCGUGGGUAUCGAACAGGAUUAGAUACCCCUGUAGUC
rnacentral:rRNA from 1 species